rnacentral:lncRNA from 1 species
GUAGAGAUGAAGUUUCUCCAUGUUGGUCAGGCUGGUCUCAAACUCCCCACCUCGGGUGAUCUGCCCGCCUUGGCCUACCAAAGUGCUGGGAUUACAGGCGUGAGCCACCGUGCCAGGCCGAGAACAUUUUGUUUUAAACCUACAUUGACAGGACAGAAUGAUCCAUUACAAUGUGACAGGCAAUGCCAGCGUAGCUGGAUCUGAAAGGCUUAUGAGCAGAAGGAAGGGUUUUUGACUCAAAAAGAUCUGAAUACCAAUUCUGGCUGUUCCUCAAGCAAAUGAGAUCCUAUUUUCUGUUUGCUCAUCUGUGGGAGAAUUGUAAUGGUCCUUUUCCUGUUAAUAGAGUGAGACGAUGGUAACAAGCAGUAGUGGAGUUCAUGGUCCCAGGAUCCCACAUUUCUGAGCCACUCAGAAUGAGAAUGUGGUAGAAAGAUGAGCUGUGAGGGGCGACUGAGGAAGCUGAUGUGAGGGGCUGGACGUGUGGAUGUGGAACUGCGGCCACGGCACAGUUCCGGGGCCUUCCAUGCACGGAAGGAAAAGCCGUCAGUUAUCGAACGCCUGCUCAGCUCUGGGUCGCCUGUUUACCAAGUGCUCGUCGGAGGACACAGUCCUGAUGAUGUGGAGCUUCCAUCCCAGCAGAAGAGAGGGACGUGCGUGGGUUCCAGAGUCAUGCUAUAUCAUCACAAACCACAAAGGCCCGUGAGAGGAAGUACAGGGUGCCAGGAAACUCACAGCAGGCCCGGAAUGGGGAGGCGAUGACUUGUGAUGAGAAAGGGCUGAUGGGAUUAGAAUCCAGUCUGUGUCCAUAAGACACAGUCAAGUCCACUGUUACACAGGAGUCAAACCGGUGACCUUGUGGAGGGGAACAACACCGAUUACUCGGUCCUGGCCCGGGGGACCAUGGCUUCCUAUGGAGCAGCCGCUCCUGCCUUCCCUUGGUACAGCAGAGAUGUGAAAAUCUAGCUCCAAGUCAGAUGUGUUUAGGAAACUUUGGGCUAACAAAGGGAAACAUUUGUUUCCUCGAGGCUGUGAGAGCUGUCAUUAAUGUGCUGAGCUGCACUGUGUCCUGAGCAGGAGCCUGCGGGGACUUGGCACAGAGCCUUGGUGCGUCCCACUGCACCUCCAGACCAGACCUCAGAGUCGGGGCCACUGCACCUCCAGACCAGACCUCAGAGUCGGGGCCACUGCACCUCCAGACCAGAUCGCAGAGUCGGGGCCACUGCACCUCCAGACCAGACCUCAGGAUCGGGGCCACUGCACCUCCAGACCAGAUCGCAGAGUCGGGGCCACCGCACCUCCAGACCAGACCGCAGGGUUGGGGCCACCGCACCUCCAGACCAGAUCACAGAGUCGGGGCCACUGCACCUCCAGACCAGACCGCAGGGUCGGGGCCACCGCACCUCCAGACCAGAACUCAGAGUCGGUGCUACCGCAGAGUCAGGGCCACUGCAUCUCCAGACCAGAUCGCAGAGUCAGGGAGCCAUCGUAUGGGGCUCCCCAUGAAGCGCUGCCUUCAGAUGGGGCAUCUGUGGAGGGACUUGUGUAAGUGGACUGUGUUUAGUGAGAGAGAGAAGCUGGUUUCUAAAAAGGAUUUUUUUGUUUUACUUUGGAAUAUUUUACUGUGGACCAAGGAGAAAUGAUUAUUGUGCUUUUGAUGGUCAGUGAUACAUAAGGAGAAUUGAAGUUACAGAGGGUGUUUUGGUACCUAGCAGAAAGAUUAUAAUUAACAAAAUGGACUGUUUGGCAUUUCUUUUUGUUAUUUUUCAUUUCUUUUUUAUGCUCAUACUCAUCAUCUAAGAUAACAGAGAAAUUCAAUCUACUACUCUCUUCAGAAUGCACUUAAGCAGCCUCUUUUAGAAAAGGAUAUAAUUUCCAUCUACUGGAAUUCCAUUUCAAAUAUAAACAAGACACCCCGGAGGGAAAGGAGUUACAGAUGCUGGUGAUUCUGACAGCAUUAACCAAUGGGAGUUGAGAACCCUGACUGGCACACUGCCCGCACCACCAACUGCUCUCUCGGGCCCAGGGUGGCGAUGGGUUGUAGCCGCUGCCGAUGCUCUUUCCUUCUGGUGCCAGAUGCAGCUUCAGUAUCAUCUGCAAGUUGGGGGGACCGUGAUGAUUGGAGUCAGCACUUGAGAGGAAACGUGCUUGCUGUUCCAAUUCUAGUGGAUAUUCUUCGUGGAUGUUGACUAAUAAAACAAAUGGACAUUCUCAUGUUAGGUACCGUCUAAUUAAUUUUUC